rnacentral:rRNA from 1 species
GAUGAACGCUGGCGGCGUGCCUAAUACAUGCAAGUCGAGCGAACGGACGAGAAGCUUGCUUCUCUGAUGUUAGCGGCGGACGGGUGAGUAACACGUGGAUAACCUACCUAUAAGACUGGGAUAACUUCGGGAAACCGGAGCUAAUACCGGAUAAUAUUUUGAACCGCAUGGUUCAAAAGUAAAAGACGGUCUUGCUGUCACUUAUAGAUGGAUCCGCGCUGCAUUAGCUAGUUGGUAAGGUAACGGCUUACCAAGGCAACGAUGCAUAGCCGACCUGAGAGGGUGAACGGCCACACUGGAACUGAGACACGGUCCAGACUCCUACGGGAGGCAGCAGUAGGGAAUCUUCCGCAAUGGGCGAAAGCCUGACGGAGCAACGCCGCGUGAGUGAUGAAGGUCUUCGGAUCGUAAAACUCUGUUAUUAGGGAAGAACAUAUGUGUAAGUAACUGUGCACAUCUUGACGGUACCUAAUCAGAAAGCCACGGCUAACUACGUG